UGCUGCAACUUUUGAAAAGACGCCAUGUUGUUGUGGCGCUGACUUUCCUCGGAUUUUUUAAAAUAAGUUUGCAACACUCGCUCGUAUUUUAUAAAAAUAACGUAGGAAGGGAUAUUUUUCGAUCGGGAAUUUGCUUUUGUGUUGCCUGUGAGGACCUUUGUGGAGAAACGCGGCAUGCGGUUUUCUGAACCUGCCGGUGAUGAGCUUCUCUUCAUCGUGCUGCCCUCGCAACUGGUGAGUUAACGAUAAAAGUGAAGCAGCUGGAAGGUUAGUUUGAUAUAUUGAUGUCCAAUUAUUAAUUUUAAAAGGCAUUCAUUGUAUAGAGAUACUGGAACCUACAGAUUGGUGAGAUCCUGGAUUGCUGGCCUGCUUUAAAAUGGAGUCGCAGGAAAUAUUAACAUCCAUGCUGCUGUCAAUGAUGUCCAUGAUGAGUGCUCCGUGCUCCCUCCACCUAUCUGCUUGAGGAUGUCUCCAAUGUUCUCAAGAUGGGGGAUAACAAUCUGAUGAACCAGACGCUGAAGAUUUAUCACUUCGUCUCCUCUCCAUUAGUGACAAUUCAACAGUUGCCAUGUUCUUCUGCUCCGAGAAGACUGAAGUUGCACUUUGGGUUGCACAGUUAACGAUUUCCCCAUAUUGGCUCAUGCAUUUGUCAUGCUUUUUGGACUAACUUGCGCAUUGGAUCUAAGUUCCCGAAAAGAGUUGGACAAUACAUUUGACUUUACCCGGAAAGUCUUGAUGGGUCUGGAGGAUGGGAAGCUGAGACCCAGAGCGUUGAGUCUUAAAAAUGGACUUUUGUCAGUAGAGUUUCCUCAGUGUUUUAACAAAGGUACUCCUUUAUUUGACAUUUCAUUUAAACUUUCACUUCUGUCACUUUUAGUGAAUUGUGUAUUUUUUUUUUUUUUUUUUUUACAAUAUCUGUCUAGUAUUUAAUUUGCAGAACAUUUUUUCAGUUGAUUUUCUGGAAUGGUAUACAUUCCAUAUACAGUACCAUGUUCAUCCACUCAUAGAAAUGACAGUUUAAAAAAAAAAAUACAUUGCUCUAUUUUGAAGUCUUUCUCGUAUAUUCUAUUCUUGUAUAACUUUUAUAUUUCUAAAGUUACUGUUAGAUGUGAAUUUUGGAAGUGUUCCUAUUUUAGGGAAGUGUUUACAGCUGAGUGAUAUCCAGAUAUCCAUAUUGUCCACUUCUAAAAGUGAGAGUUACUAUCAGCUCAUUUUUCAAGGACCUCGCACUGUUUUGGAGAAUGUAUUUCCAUUUGAUGUUGAACAAUUUAAUGUUGAUGUUUUGUUAAUGA